rnacentral:rRNA from 1 species
UUGGAGGGCAAGUCUGGUGCCAGCAGCCGCGGUAAUUCCAGCUCCAAUAGCGUAUAUUAAAGUUGUUGCAGUUAAAAAGCUCGUAGUUGAAUUUCGGGAUUAGUACGUUGGUCGUGCCUUAGGUACGUACUGGUGUUACUGGUUUCUACCUUCUGACGAACCAUCAUGUCAUUAAUUUGGUGUGGUGGGGAAUCAGGACUGUUACUUUGAAAAAAUUAGAGUGUUUAAAGCAGGCUCGCGCUUGAAUACAUUAGCAUGGAAUAAUGAAACAGGACGUUGAUCCUAUUUUGUUGGUUUCUAGGAUUGACGUAAUGAUUAAUAGGGAUAGUUGGGGGCAUUAGUAUUCAAUUGUCAGAGGUGAAAUUCUUGGAUUUAUUGAAGACUAACUACUGCGAAAGCAUUUGCCAAGGAUGUUUUCAUUAAUCAAGAACGAAAGUUAGGGGAUCGAAGACGAUCAGAUACCGUCGUAGUCUUAACCAUAAACUAUGCCGACUAGGGAUCGGAUGAUGUUAUUUUUAAUGACUCAUUCGGCGCCUUACGGGAAAC